GCUGGCAGCUGGUUUUCUGACUCUUUCUCACUCAGCAAACAGGAGGGUCGGUCUCAGCAUGCACCGCACCUAUCUCGUCCUCACUGCCUUCCUGGGACAACUGCUGGAUGCCGUGGGGCAGAUGAUCAUCACCCAGCAAGAAGGACAGGUCACAGUGGAGGAGAGAGACACCUUCCAGACCACCUGCACAUACCAGACGCCUAGCUUUUAUGGCUUGCUUUGGUAUGAGCAGAAGAAAGGCCAAGCCCCCCAGCUGGUCACAUAUCAGGCAGCAGCAGGCCCCAAGCAGAACGGCCGCUUCACCACGUGGCUCAACACCACUGGGAAAUACAGCCUCCUGCAGCUGGCAGAAGUCGAGCUCUCUGACAGCGCCUUGUACCUCUGUGCUGUGCAGGACACCGUGGUGCAGGGAGCUUCCUUGGCUGUGCAACAACCCCGGGGAGGGAGGGGGUGUGUCUGUGCAAGGCGGAGCUCAGGGGAAGGGGCCCUCAUCUCUCCCCUGGCAGCGCUGCUUCCCCUGUGCACACAGAGAUCUGCAGGUCAACAUCCUCUUCCAGAUGGGACCAAUGUCUGUGGCUUAACAGGAAUAUAAUGUUAUGAAAGACACCCUGACCUGCAACUCCUCUUCCUUUACACUCCUGGACAGCACAGC